GACGAACGCUGGCGGCGUGCUUAACACAUGCAAGUCGAACGGAAAGGCCCUGCUUUUGUGGGGUGCUCGAGUGGCGAACGGGUGAGUAACACGUGAGUAACCUGCCCUUGAUUUUGGGAUAAUUUCAGGAAACUGGGGCCAAUACCGGAUGGGAGCUCUUGCUGCAUGGUGGGGGUUAGAAAUCUUCGGCGGUUGGGGAUGGACUCGCGGCUUAUCAGCUUGUUGGUCGGGUACUGGCUUACCAAGGCAUUGACCGGUAGCCGGCCUGAGAGGGUGACCGGCCACAGUGGGACUGGGAUGCGGCCCAGCCUCCUACGGGAGGCAGCGGUGGGGAAGAUUGCACUAUAGGCGGGAGCCUGAUGCAGCCACGCCGCGUGCGGGAUGACGGCCUUCGGGUUGUAUACCACUUUCGCCUGUGACGAGGCGUGAGUGACGGUAAUGGGUAAAGAAGCACCGGCUAACUACGUG
rnacentral:rRNA from 1 species